rnacentral:rRNA from 1 species
AUGGGACAAGCCCUGGAAACCGUUUUCUAAUACCGGAUACUGACCCGCCUGGGCAUCCAGGCGGUUCGAAAGCUCCGGCGGUGCAGGAUGAGCCCGCGGCCUAUCAGCUUGUUGGUGAGGUAAUGGCUCACCAAGGCGACGACGGGUAGCCGGCCUGAGAGGGCGACCGGCCACACUGGGACUGAGACACGGCCCAGACUCCUACGGGAGGCAGCAGUGGGGAAUAUUGCACAAUGGGCGAAAGCCUGAUGCAGCGACGCCGCGUGAGGGAUGACGGCCUUCGGGUUGUAAACCUCUUUCAGCAGGGAAGAAGCGAAAGUGACGGUACCUGCAGAAGAAGCGCCGGCUAACUACGUGCCAGCAGCCGCGGUAAUACGUAGGGCGCGAGCGUUGUCCGGAAUUAUUGGGCGUAAAGAGCUCGUAGGCGGUCUGUCGCGUCGGAUGUGAAAGCCCGGGGCUUAACCCCGGGUCUGCAUUCGAUACGGGCAGACUAGAGUGUGGUAGGGGAGAUCGGAAUUCCUGGUGUAGCGGUGAAAUGCGCAGAUAUCAGGAGGAACACCGGUGGCGAAGGCGGAUCUCUGGGCCAUUACUGACGCUGAGGAGCGAAAGCGUGGGGAGCGAACAGGAUUAGAUACCCUGGUAGUCCACGCCGUAAACGG